GGAGACCAUAGGUUGCGUCUGGUGGAGGGAGAGUGAGCGGGGCUGCCCUGAAUGGAUUGACAUUAGAGGGAUUUACAUUUUUAACGGGUGUCGUGCUCCGUGAAGAACAACACGGUGCACGUUGUAAAAAAAAAAAACAACCAAUUUCGCCUGAUGUUUGUCCAUGUUGGUGCUUUUAUCAUGUGCAUGUGUCAUCAUCGUCGUGAGAGGAUUGAACUUGCCAGCAGCAGUCUAUAUUUGUCGAGGAGGGAAACCAAUACAAGGUCUCGCUGUCUUGCUGGAGCGGAGUAUUAUUAGCAGUUCAGACAGUGCAACUGUCUCUCUGGUCAUGCACUGGAAUUGCAGGAUGACUUCAUAAUCCCCGUCCCCCCCCC